UACGAGGGGGGCAAGCGUUGUUCGGAAUUAUUGGGCGUAAAGGGCGCGUAGGCGGUGCGGUAAGUCACCUGUGAAACCUCUAGGCUUAACCUAGAGCCUGCAGGCGAAACUGCCGUGCUGGAGUGUGGGAGAGGUGCGUGGAAUUCCUGGUGUAGCGGUGAAAUGCGUAGAUAUCAGGAGGAACACCUGUGGCGAAAGCGGCGCACUGGACCACAACUGACGCUGAGGCGCGAAAGCUAGGGGAGCAAACGGG
rnacentral:rRNA from 1 species